rnacentral:rRNA from 1 species
AUUGAACGCUGGCGGCAGGCCUAACACAUGCAAGUCGAACGAGUGGCGGACGGGUGAGUAAUGUCUGGGAAACUGCCCGAUGGAGGGGGAUAACUACUGGAAACGGUAGCUAAUACCGCGUACCAGCGGAUGUGCCCAGAUGGGAUUAGCUUGUAGGUGAGGUAACGGCUCACCUAGGCGACGAUCCAUAGCUGGUCUGAGAGGAUGACCAGCCAUCGUGGAACUGAGACACGGUCCAUACUCCUACGGGAGUCCGCCGUGUGGAAUAUUGCCCAAUGGGCGCAAGCCUGAUGCAGCCACGCCGCGUGUAUGAAGAAGUCCUUCGGGUUGUAAAGUACUUUCAGCGGGGAGGCGUUACCCGCAGAAGAAGCACCGGCUAACUCCGUGCCAGCAGCCGCGGUAAUUC